UAUAUGAGGCGAGGCGAGCCUCUUAAAGCAGCCGUGAGUUGAGCACCUCUUUUUAGGCUUUUUGUAAAAAAAAAAAAAGGCCACCCUUCGGAAAUGGACUCUACCAAACUCCCCCGCCUCUGUUCGUGACUUGGACUGUUCCAGAAUUUCCGGGGAGUUGGAAAACAAGAUGUUAUGGAGAGAGGCUGCGUAGAUGUGCUUGUUUAUUGUAAAUAAGUUAAAUUCGUCAGAAGUGUUGCAAUCCAAAGAUUAAGGAUUAUGUGUGUGCGUGCAACUAAUUUUUUAGACAAGCGUUGAGGUGAGCGGACGAGAAGCUGGACCGAGCUUGUGCUGUCGUGAGUUGUGACCGAGCCUGAUCGCCGAGAAACUGAACUGCAUGUCUGUGAUAUACCAGGAGGGGCAUUGCUCAUCGUGCUAGCGGAGAUGGUGUGUUGGCACGGGUGUUCAUCUUCUACUGAAGGGAGCUGAGAUACUGUGAGUUUUUCUUCACUGUUGUUUAACCACAGUUUCUAUUCUGAAGAAACACACGGACGUUAUUUGUUGUUCUUGAAGCAAAGCAGCUUGGAUCGAGUGAUUUUGCUACUGUUGUUCGAGCCGAAAUCCUCGUGCGUCGUUUUUCAUACAAUAGUGUCGCCGUGUGGACACAAACGGCAUUGCGAACUCAUUGACGCUCUUCUUUUGACAAUAUUUUUCCUUCUAUUUUUCAGUUUAUUUUUGGACAUUUUGCACUGUUUUCACUUGGAGACUUUGAAACCCUUUUUGGAUGGACAAUUGCAUAGACUUGAGAACUGAUAACUAAGUUUGCACGAAUGAAUGGAUCCGAAUUACGCUGUUUUUGAUUUUCUUUGAAGGGACUGUCCACCAGAAUCUUUGUGAAGAUUUUAUUAUUUUUUUUUAAACAUUAUUUUUUUUCUUGAACAUUAUUUUUCCUGUCGUUGAAGAAACGGAAGGGACUUUCUGUUUUUGAACAGGUGGCUAUUUGUUUGAUUUAAUUACCCUGCCAUAUCUGGACACUCCAACACCAGACCAGUUCUACUGUGAGGUAAAACUUUAACUUUGGGGUUGUGAAUCUCACUCAGGUAUGUGAACUGCAAAUAUCUGAUAUGGAAUGAAACAUCUGUAAUGUACUUUUGAGUGAACUGAGUACCAUCUGAGCAUUCUAUCAGAACUGUUGUUGUUUUUCUGAUUUUGAGUAUUACUGUUGAAAGAGAAGAAACUGAACAAAAGUUUGAAUCUGAACAAAACUUUAUUUUUUAUAUAUUUCUUGAAAAAUCGUAAGAGAGUGAAACAAAGAAUUUAUUUCAGGACUGUUGUUUUCUUUAUUUUGUUUAAUUCUGCUAAACAUUUAAGAAAUAAGUGUAAAACUUUGAUAUCUUGGAGUAGGGGCAUUCCUACUGUCUUGUGGUCUGAAGAGGGGAAGAGGGGUUAAUCAACACUGUUAUACUCUGGGGAGCUACCGUGUAUGUUAAGUUCCAGAGCCUCAAUCCUCAUCAGUCGCUGCUACAAAAGACAAAAGCAACAUUAGCAAGGCAGACAACAACAUACUUAUAUAUAUAUAUAUAUAUAAGUACGGGAAUUAAUCGUACUAGGGGGUGAGGACCUAGAUCUUGUCAAUGCCUAGUCAUCCAAGAUAUAUUGCAGCUGAAGUUAAACUCACCCCUACAUUGUAGUGAAAUUCCUCGCUACACCUCUUUUAAGCCUUUUUAAAUAAAAACAUCUAGAAUCUCAGUAUUAAUCGGGUGACUAUCGUCACUCAAAGCCUUUGAUGGCAUCAGUCCUUCAUCAGUCUCUCUCCACCGGAUAAACACACGUGAUCAUCUGUCCCUGUAACAUCAGACAAGAUUCAAGUUUCCUCUGAGAUUGAUGUGCUCAACACUACAUUCACAUGAUGAUGAUGAUGAUGUGUUAACUCUCUUUUUAUCAACACAAAUGUUCCUUCAUUUAUUAACAGUACUAACGGACAAAUAAAACAGAUAACUUAUGUCUAGUUACUGUAGAUUUGUUUACUUUAUUUUCAUUCAUAUAUAAUGUAAUCAGUGUUGAAUUCUUCAUAAUAUCGCACACACACACACACACACACACACACACACACACACACACACACAUCACUCAGAUUCAUGUUGUGACGAGAUCAUCAUCUGCAAUACUUACUGAAUAUUGUCCUGUCAGAUGUUAAAUAAACAUUUAGUAAAUGCUUAAAAAGAUCAAAUAAUAAAUCAAAGUUUCAAAACAGCUGCUCAAAUGAAAUUUCAUUUCCUCAUUCGGGAAAGCAUGAACUGUAUCAAUAAUCAAAUUAAAACUCAUUUGUAUUUGUAUAUAUUUUUAAUUUUCAUUAUCAAUCCAGUAUAAACCUUUGAACUUUUAUACUUGAAAUUUGAACUGGAGAGAGCAGGACUUGGAGGAAAAAAAAUGAUGUUCUCUGACAAAUACUGUUGUUCUUCGGAGUUCAAUCAGGAACUCGUACGCCAGUUCCCUAAGCGGGGUGAGGGUGGUGGCUUUGAGCUGUUAAAAAUGAGAGGCUGCACCAGGACAAAAAUUCCCAACACCCUACAUUAUGAGAGCAGCAGCCGAGCAGGAGCAGCAACAGCAUUCCCAUUCUUCAGAGCAGAGAGCAGCAACAGCAUUCCCAUUCUUCAGAGCAGAGAGCAGCAACAGCAUUCCCAUUCUCCAGAGCAGAGCAGGAGCAGCAACAGCAUUCCCAUUCUCCAGAGCAGAGAGCAGGAGCAUCAUUUUUAUCAUAUGUGAUCCUGGAGCACAAAACCAGUCAUAAGUCGCACGGGUAUAUUUGUAGCAAUAGCCAACAAUACAUUGUAUAGGUCAAAAUGAUCUAUUUUUCUUUUAUGCCAAAAAUCAUUAGGAUAUUAAGUAAAGAUCAUGUUCCAUGAAGAUAUUUUGUAAAUUUCCUACCAUAAAUAUAUCAAAAAUGUAUUUUUGUAUGCAUUGUUAAGGGCUUCAUUUGGACAACUUUAAAGGUGGUUUUCUCACAUUUUAGAUUUUUUUGCACCCUCAGAUUCCAGAUUUUCAAACAGUUGUAUCUCGGUCAAAUAUUGUCCUGUCCUAACAAACCAUCAGUGGAAAGCUUUAGUCAGCUUUCAUGACAGGUUUUGUGGUUCAGGGCCACAUAUGUCUUCAAAUGCAACUGGGCAAGCUCAUGUCAAAGCAGACAGGAAUAGUAAAGAAAAUGUUCUCAUUGUAUAUUCACCCUUUUUCUGCAGAAUGUGUUAUCUUCGCUCUGUGAGUUCAUGCAGUACCAGUGAAUGGUGACCUAAAACUCUUCAAAAUACAGCGCAUAAAACUGCAGUGCAUUAAUUUAUGAAUUCAGAAAUGAUCAAAUCUGUGAUCCAAAUACGAGGCCAGCAGUCAUAAUUCUGGAUAUACAGUGGUGCUUGAAGCUCUGACAUCUAUCUAUCUAUCUAUCUAUCUAUCUGUCUAUCUGUCUAUCUGUCUGUCUGUCUGUCUGUCUGUCUGUAUGUGUCUGUCUGUCUGACAUCUAUAUCUAUCUAUCUAUCUAUCUAUCUAUCUAUCUAUCUAUCUAUCUAUCUAUCUAUCUAUCUAUCUGUCUAUCUAUCUAUGUUGAACACUGACAACAUGAUUAAUAUUCAUGAAGCUAGCAGCUCAUCAGUCAUUUGUGUGGUUCAUAUUGGUGUUAGUAGUAGAAUUUAUAGUGUUAUUGUCUUUUAAGUCUGGUGAGUAGACAAAAAAAUGACUAGCCAAUAAUGAUUCUACUGCCAAGGUGAUUUGUGUGUCUGUAACUUAUAUUUUCAGAUUGGAAAAUUGAGAGUGAUGAACAGCAAGCAGCAUACCAGUUUUGAAGAAACUUAUUACAUGGAGCUGAAGACCGGACACCCCUUCAGGUCACAACAGAUCUAACCAGCAGUGUGCAAGACAGAGAUAGACAGUUUCUGUCAUUCUACGAGUCAAACCCAACUGACUGGGCAUCCCCACUAUCAAUCAACCUUAAAGCUUGAAGAGCCAAGGGAUCUGACAGACGUGGAACGAUAGAGAGUGAACGAUCUUGCUUUUAGCUGGGCCAACAUUAACUAGAGAAAACCGGAAGUGGCUUGCAGAAACCGUUCUUCAGCAUGAGGUAUUCAGUAUUGUGAUGUAUUUCUGUGUGAAACGGACUGUUGAACGAGAAAGCUUGUUUGCAGUCGCACGAUUCUGAUGAAAUCUGAAAUUCAGAUGAGUGCAGGAAGUGAAAAGCAGAACGGACGAGAUGAAGUAAAGUUCGUACUGCAGGAUCAUUUCAUGUCAAAUCAAUCAAAUUUCAGAAACUUCCCUAGCUCAAACUUAGUGCUGGGCGGCAUGGGCGUCACUAGGCCCUUUUUAGGGAGGCUUCAGCCCCCCUAAAAAACUUGUGAUUGCCUCUGUAAUCUGUAACCUAAUUUGUGAUCGCUUCUGACCCCUUUAAAACAAAUGAAAGGGUGGCAGGCUUCGGCUUUGCCCUCGCCCUGCCUCAGUCUGUGUUAAUUCCUUUUCAAACUGUUCUGAAGCAUACUUGUUAUGCUAUUGUUAUUGUUAUUGACAGACGCUGCUAUAAGUCAAAUGGCCAUAAUUUAAGUGAUCACAAAAAUAAGAGUUCAGCCAUAUUACACAGCCUGCUGCUGAUAACUGCAUAAGGGGCCGUUCACAUAUCGCGUCUUUUGCUCGUGCAAAUUCCUUAUUUCAAAUGUAGGAGCACAUCAAGCGCACUCAUAAUAGGAGCGACGCGCAUACGGUGCGCUCGUUUUUUUCCAGGCGUGCCUAUGCCGUGACGAGAUGAAAACAUCUCAACUUUUCAGAAUGCCGCAAGCGCACCGCAGGUCAUGUGACAAGAACCAACCAAUCAGCUUCAGCCUUUCUGUAACAACACCGAAAGCUCAGCCGAGCAGCUGAUCAUAGCUGUACAGGGCGGGUUUUAUUUCUCAUCUCCAUAAAUAUAUCUAGUGUUAAAGCUAAUGCAAUGGCUAGAAAUCAAUGAAUCAAUUAAUCCUUUGCUGAUACUCCCUCAUCACGGUGGAGAGAGCAAUUCAUGGUUGCAUAGCAACGACAGACGCCGCGGGAGUGCAAGCGCUUGUAGAAAGGAGGAGAAAGCGGCGCGGCUGCGCUUUACACACGUUUUUAGACGUGAUAUGUGAACGGCCCCUAAGAGUGCACUGGCCACUGAUGAUGUCGUGGAGGCUAUGCUAGACACACAGUUAAUGAGGAAAGUUAACAUCCACACUUUAGCCAUAAGUUUCGUCUGAAUUGUACAUGCUACUACUAUUUUUCUGUGAAAAUGACUUGUUGCACUUAUGGUAAGCAUGGUCAACAUCAACUCUAAUAGGCUACAAUGUAAUUAUGCUUUGGAAAAGCUGUUUUCCCCGUGGUCAGCUGAAGCUGUGUGUGAACAAGGCUGCAGAAUGUGAGUUGCUCCGUCUCACACAGCCUCAGAGGAGAGAAAUUCUCUAGUAUCGUACAGAAAUGGAGUUGAUAACGCCGGAGAUUAUCUAUACAGCGCAGGCUAGUAUAAUUUAGCCGCUGGGCUCCUUACCAGGUGUUUGCAAUUAAACAGAGAAUCACCUGUGUUUUGAGCUGUGGUGUCUGGUCCGCACGGAUCCCUAUACUACACAUCGCAAUUUCGAUGCUAUAAAUGAACUAUCGUGCAGCCCUAAUUCAAAUGUACAUGAUCAUAAAAUAUGAGAAUUACCCGUAUGAAGUCCAUUGACUUCAAUGGAUUUAAUUAAAUUCAUUUGAAACUUAUAACUCAUGACUGCUCAAAAGAGUCCAAAUUUAUGAAACAAAACACCUUAAUCAAAUCAGUUUAUAAAGCUAACAAUUUUUAUUUAAAAUGUAAUCAAAAGAAAAUGUAUUAAUAAGUGUUUUUACUGUGUGCAAUUUCUGUAACUUCAAUGGGCAUUAACAAAUAGCUCAAAUACCCUAGGGGGAUAACAUAAGCCACAAAAAUGUGUAAAGUUUAUAAAUAUGUCCGUUCUUAAAAUCUGGUGUCUGAUUCUUUAGGUUAUCGGUCGCAGAGAGAAGCAGAUGAAGCAAAUCAAACGAGGUCUGAAGGAUACUGGGGUCCUGCUCAUGAUGAAAGAACGGCCUUCUCUCAUCACAGUGCUGUUCCCAAAAUCAUCCUUCCUGAACUAAUGGAUUGUUUAUGGCUCUGAAAACAUGCGAUCGUUAACCAGACUUCCCAUUUCCUAAAAACCUGAGCAUUUAUGCUGUUUUCUUUGUCCAUAGAUGGUUUAGAAAGAGUUAUAUGGCCAAUGAUGAGGAUGAAGAUGAAGAUGAGGAUGAUCACGAGGUUCCUCUGGAGUUGAAACGCCAGAUGGCGUCGUACCUCAGGAAGUACAUCGAAAAUGCUACAGCACUGGGUAUGGAGCAGGGUCGGGCAAUCCUCCCACAACAUCUCUAUGUGGAGGUGUCUGACUCCAUUAAAGUGAGAAAAUAAAGCUGCCUUCUCACGACACUCACUACAUGGACUUUCAGGCAGACUUAAAGCAGCAGUGUCCACAAGAGAACGUGGAUUUGGAUUAGUUUAAUCAUAUGGUGUGUUCCUGGGCUUUUUAAAUGAAGAGGCCAGUCCUCAACUGUUAGCCAGUGUGCUUUUGAUAGGACUGUUUAUUGAGAGAGAAAAAAUGUUAUUCAAAUGAAACUAAAUACUAGAUUUUAUAACUUCAUGUUCAUUUUUUCAUUUGUAGCAAGUUAAAUAAUGUGUAACUUAAAGUUGAAAUUUGAUGUAAAAAGUUAAAUGAGUAGUACUUUAAUAUUUGUACAAAUUUGUUCGUUUAAUCAAAUGUAAUGAACAGCCAGUGCAUCAGGAAAACAUGUAUUUGUUCAUCAAUAAACAAUCUGGAUUCAAGGA